AAACCAACAGGGAUUGCCCCAGUAACGGCGAGUGAAGCGGCAAGAGCUCAAAUUUGAAAUCUGGCCUCCCCCGGGGGCCCGAGUUGUAAUUUGCAGAGGAUGCUUCGGGUGCGGCCACCGUAUAAGUUCCUUGGAACAGGACGUCAGAGAGGGUGAGAAUCCCGUCUUGGGCGGGCGGUCCGCGCCCGUGUGAAGCUCCUUCGACGAGUCGAGUUGUUUGGGAAUGCAGCUCUAAGCGGGUGGUAAAUUUCAUCUAAAGCUAAAUAUUGGCCGGAGACCGAUAGCGCACAAGUAGAGUGAUCGAAAGGUUAAAAGCACCUUGAAAAGGGAGUUAAACAGCACGUGAAAUUGUUGAAAGGGAAGCGCUUGCGGCCAGACUCGGGGGCGGGGUUCAGCGGGUGCUCGUCGCCCGUGUAUUCCUCGUCUCCCGGGCCAGCAUCAGUUUCGACGGCCGGUCAAAGGCCCCCGGAAUGUGUCGUCUCUCGGGACGUCUUAUAGCCGGGGGUGCAAUGCGGCCCGUCGGGACUGAGGAACGCGCUCCGGCUCGGAUGCUGGCGUAAUGGCCGUAAGCGGC
rnacentral:rRNA from 1 species